AAGGUAAUGGGCACUGCUACUCGGAACAGACCUUAGCUAUUUUCUCACAGAACUGUUCCAGAAGGCUCCCUGUUGUGAGCUAUAUUGUUAUAAACUGCUGAACGUCAGCCCUACUUUCCUGGAAGAAAUGAAAUAAAUGAAUCGAUGAUUGACUUAUCCUCCGAGGGAUAAUCAGGUUGUCCGGAGUUCCGCAGAAAUCCACAGAAGCUUCUAAAGGUUCUUCUCCUUGGUGUGCGGCUGAAGGUUUAGCAUCAAAAUGCAUGACCUUCCAUUAUCCAGGAUAAUACAGGUUUUCUGAAGACUUCCCAAAUGAAAGCUUUCAAAGUUACGGGCAAAACAUCUCACAUAAAAAGGGGGGAAAUACAAUAUAUCAAUUAAACUUACGGCAUCUACUUUUCCAUUCCAGACAUACAGUCAUUUUGAAUAAGCUGCGAACAAAAACAGACACAAAACCAACCAACCAACGACGACAACCACCACCACACCCCCCUCGGGUACUUAAAUCGAGCACGUGACUGUUGCCUCCAUGUAGUCAGCACGGGGGACUUUAUCGGACAGAGGCUACGUGGAGAGCACCUCAGCGGACAGACAGGACCGAGGCCCCAGGCUAUACGUGAAGCCUUACUGGAUCCUCACAGAUAACCUGUUAUACCCAGACAACCUCAACGGAAGUAGAGACAAGCUGCACCUGGCUGAAUCCUGCCUGAAUUUCUCAUGCACAGAAUCAUGAACAAUAAAAUGGUUCAUGUUUUCAGCCCCUAUGUUUGGGUGAGGUUGUACAGCAACAGAAACAGUGGCUAGCGCACUCUAGGAGAACCACUCCGAGCAAGGAUUCAUAACUCAGGCAGUAUUUGGAGUGUCUAUACUUCUGAGCCUUAUCGGGGAAUGGAAUCUGUCGUUUUCCUCUGAUUAUUAAUGGAGUCUUUGUCUCCAAAAGGACUAAGAAGCACCGAUUUAUGGGUCAUUCAAAGUUAAACACCAUCGCCAACAAAGGUUUUCAUUUUGUUUAUGAAAAUAAUACAUGCUAUGCUAGUAAAAGAUUAAGAGUACAAAAGUAUAUUCAAUAAAAGAUUGUCC